GGGGGCGUAACUCAGUGGGAGAGUGUCACGUUCGCAACGUGAAAGUCGAGGGUUCGAAUCCCUUCGCCUCCACCA
rnacentral:tRNA from 2 species